rnacentral:lncRNA from 1 species
UGCCACCGACCCUGGGCUCUGUGACUUCCAAAGACUCGCCACCCCAUUCCACAGCCUGAGGUGCCACCAAAGCCAUAAGCCCAGGGGAGUCUCUCACACCCCAUUCUCCUAGGGCCCAUGUACCCCACGCCCACCUCCACCCCAGGAGCCGAAGGCCGGCAGGGAGCCUGGAGAGCCUCCUUGAUGGGAGAACUGCGGAGCUUGCCCCUCGGAAAAGUGCAUGGGGUGGAGAACAGGGAAGGAGAAAAAAACAACAACUGGGUACUCGCAGCCCCACCGCGGUGUCCGCUUCGCCGGUGGGAGAGGAUCCUCGCCGCCCUGAAUCCUUGAAAUCCUUGCCGAGCAUCUGCUCUGUACAGGCCGUGUACUAAGUGCUAGAGAGAUGGUGUGGGGUAGAUAAUGGCUUCCAGAGAUGUUCACGUCCUGAUCCACAGAUCCUAUAUACAGAGGACGUUAAAUAACCUCCUGGCAUCAUUCACGAGGACCUGAAUGGGAGCAAAUGGGAUGGUGGAAACCAGUUUGGCAAUGUACCAGGUAAGGUUCUGAGCUCUACUGGAGGUACUAGGCUAUCUGAAGAUUCCUCCUUCAAAUCUAAUAGAAAGUUUUGUUUUUUUUUUAUUGUUUGAAAGCCAUGACCCAUCCUCUCCUAACCAGUUAUUCCCAGUAGUUACUAUAACUGUUUAUUUUUGGUAUAUGUGACACAUAUAUAUGCACUUUAGGCAAUAAAGGAUGAUCAACAUUUAAGAAUACUUUUGACAUUGGUCUUAGCAAUGAUUGUUUAGAUUUGACAUCAAAUGUACAAGCAAAAGGGGCACAGAAAAACAAGUGGGACUACAUCAAACUAAAAAGCUUUUGCACAGCAAGGGAAACAAUCAACAAAAUGAAAAGCAACCUAUA